rnacentral:misc_RNA from 2 species
AACGCACCUUGCGCCCCUUGGCAUUCCGAGGGGCACACCCGUUUGAGUGUCGUGAAAUCAUCAAAAAUCUUUUUCUUUGAAAAGGAUUUUUGGACUUGGAGGUUUCAUGCUUGCUUUUGCCUUUGAAAGCGAGCUCCUCUGAAAUAAAUUAGUGGGGUCCGCUUUGCUGAUCCUUAAUGUGAUAAGAUGUUUCUACGUUUUGGAUUUAGCACUGUCCCUUGGACGCCUGCUCCUAACUAGUUGUCCCUUGGACAAUGAUGGUGCUCCUGGUCACCGCCAUCCACAUUGGCGGGAGGCUGGACCCACAAAAGAAAAACCUUGACCUCAAAUCGGGUGAGACUACCCGCUGAACUUAA